rnacentral:rRNA from 1 species
CCCUUAGAUGUCCUGGGCCGCACGCGCGCUACACUGAGUGUCUGAGAUACGAGUCUGCCUGGCCCGGCAAGGUCUAGGUAAUCGCUAAAAGACACAUCAUGCUUGGGAUAGAUUAUUGCAAAUAUUAAUCUUGAACGAGGAAUUCCUAGUAAGCGCAAGUCAACGGCUUGCGUUGAUUACGUCCCUGCCCUUUGUACACACCGCCCGUCGCUACUACUGAUUGGAUGUUUAAGCGAGGUUCUCGAACUGCUAGCGACUUAGCUUCGGUGAGGUCGCAGUGUGGGAAGUGAACCUAGCUUUGGUGUCUAGAGGAAGUAAAAGUCGUAACA